rnacentral:rRNA from 1 species
GGUGGGGAUGACGUCAAGUCAUCAUGGCCCUUACGACCAGGGCUACACACGUGCUACAAUGGCGCAUACAAAGAGAAGCGACCUCGCGAGAGCAAGCGGACCUCAUAAAGUGCGUCGUAGUCCGGAUUGGAGUCUGCAACUCGACUCCAUGAAGUCGGAAUCGCUAGUAAUCGUGGAUCAGAAUGCCACGGUGAAUACGUUCCCGGGCCUUGUACACACCGCCCGUCACACCAUGGGAGUGGGUUGCAAAAGAAGUAGGUAGCUUAACCUUCGGGAGGGCGCUUACCACUUUGUGAUUCAUGACUGGGGUGAAGUCGUAACAAGGUAACCGUAGGGGAACCUGCGGUUGGAUCAC